CACUCCCAUAGACGCGGAGAGAGAGAGACCGGGCAGGGCAUGGCGGCGGCGGCGGCGGCCGUGAUCCCGACUGCGAGGAAGACACAUCCUAAGCGCGGCGAAGCGGUCAACCGCGACAUAUUACCCUGCAUCUGUAUUUAGAAUUAUCGAGCAUAGCCUGACCAUCCCCUGCGGGAUCUUGCGCGCGAAAUGUUCGUCCACAGCAUUCUGUCUCCUUGUGCAUGAUCCUAUUCUCAAAAUGGUACGCGUCUAUGAUAAGCCUGCAUCUCAUAUCGGAGUCACAAGGGAUAACUGACGAAAAGGAAAGGAUUAAAGGUCGGCGUGUGUGACACCUUUCUUGUGCUGGUUUUGCACAGAUUUGGUUUUCGUCAGUUGCAGUCAAAAGCGAUCUUGGACCAAGCACUUCAGGGAUGUGGCCCAGGCAGAAUUGAACUUGGGGGUAGUUCCCUGGCAGUUGCAUCCAAGGAUUAAUUUCAGACCCCGUAGAUGGCAAGUUCAUAUCAUAGUUCCUUCAGGCUUUGUCUCUUGGAGUGCUCGGCAUCAGGCAUCUCUAUGUACCUGUGGUUGCUGGAGAUGGCUUUGUUUCUUUUGCAACUGUGCAGUCAAAGGGGACCAUGAACUUAUUAGGGUCAAAGCAACCUUGCCGCUUUCAAUGCCUCUCACCUUUAAUUCGGACAAAAGUUUCUAGUAUCCUAGCUGUUGUUCUUUCCUGAAAAUGACAGUGGCUGGGACAUGAGCCUGAAAAUGGAACAAUCAGACCAGUGUUACAUGAAUAUGUAAGCUAUUAGCAACGAUAGAAGGCCUGUGAAACUAUUUGCUUAAAAAGGUGUCAGCCUAGCUAGUAGUACUGUCUCUUUGAUCGUAAAGUAGAUGUAUAUAUCUUGUAAAGUUGGGCUAGUGGGUUAGUGUAUGAUUUAGACGAAUCUUAUCUCA